rnacentral:rRNA from 1 species
AGAGAUGUGUGAUGACGCAUAUCAAUAAGCGGAGGAAAAGAAACUGACAAGGAUUCCCUUAGUAACGGCGAGUGAAGCGGGAAGAGCUCAAAUUUGAAAUCUUCAAGGUUCUACCUUGACGAAUUGUAGUUUAUAGAAGUGUUUUCUGUUAGUAGAGUGGCAAAAGUUCUUUGGAAUAGGACAUCAUAGAGGGUGAGAAUCCCGUAUUUGGUCAUUCUUUCUAGCUUUGUGAUACACUUUCAACGAGUCGGAUUGUUUGGGAAUGCAGUCCAAAAUGGGUGGUAAAUUUCAUCUAAAGCUAAAUAUUGGCGAGAGACCGAUAGCGAACAAGUACCGUGAGGGAAAGAUGAAAAGAACUUUGAGAAGAGAGUUAAACAGUACGUGAAAUUGUCAAAAGGGAAGCGUUUGACACCAGUGUUGUUUUUCCGAAAAUCAAUUAUGAAUGUUUUAUUUUGAGAAGUUAUGACUUCAUCGGCUUGCUUCUCUCUUUAUGAAACUUUCUUAAUGCACUUUUCGGUUAACAAGUCAACAUCAAUUUCUUUUGUUGUAAAAGGGUAUGAGGAAGGUGGCUUUCUUUUCGGAGAAAGUGUUUAUAGCCUUGUACCUCUGCAAUCGGAGAGAUUGAGGUCUGCAGCGUAGAUCCUUCGGGGUUAGAUACAUUUGUGCUAAGUUAUUAGCUUUUCAUAGACAACUUGUUGACUAUGUUAAGUCUUGUAGCUUACUCGCUUAUGCUAUUUUACCUACGCUUAGGAUGUUGACGAUCAGCUGAGCGCG